UACGUAGGGGGCGAGCGUUAUCCGGAAUUAUUGGGCGUAAAGAGUACGUAGGCGGGAGCUUAAGCACAGGGUUUAAGGCAAUGGCUUAACCACUGUAUGCCUUGUGAACUGAGCUUCUUGAGUGCAGGAGGGGAAGGCGGAAUUCCUAGUGUAGCGGUGAAAUGCGUAGAUAUUAGGAGGAACACCAGUGGCGAAGGCGGCUUACUGGCCAGCAACUGACGCUGAGGCGCGAAAGCCAGGGGAGCAAACGGGAUUAGAUACCCGCGUAGUCCCU
rnacentral:rRNA from 1 species